UAAACUUUCUCACCCCUGCCAGCUCCCACAUUCUUCUCUCCAUUCCCAGAACAUACAGUCUGCAUCACGCAUCUCACUUAAGUCAGCAAAACCUGCCCGAGGAGAGAUAGCUGCUGGAGAUAACACGCCACAGACUCCCUGUGUCAGUGCAGUUACUGGCAGGAGUGACCAAUUAUCAAAAACCAAGUGUGCAGUUCUCCUGGAGCGGCAUCUUAAUCUUGGGAAAGCAUGGUUCCCAUUUUGCAAAAUUACAAGGUGAAUGUGAUCACCUUGAACGAAAAGUUGAAUGCUACACCAUUUUAAAUACUGUGAAUUUCAAGGCCACCUACCUUUUAAAUCGGGGUUAUAAAUAGAUGAGACUGGUAAAGUCAAAAGUAUAAAGACCUAACUGAUAUCACAGGCUGGGUGAGUCCAAUCUGCUCAUGUCCUACUGUUGUGCAUCAGGCUCCUGUCUAAAAAUAGACAGCAAAGACUUUAAAUGGAUGAAGUUCUUUCAGGUAGAGCCCAUAUCAUCCAGGUGCUGAGAUCCCAUAAAUUAUCAAAAGGCUGAUGAUUUUCACACAGUAAAAGGAAAUUGGAAUUCAAAUAUUUAUUAAGUAGCCUUGAGUAAGUCACUCACCCUGAGUCAAGUUCCCUGGAUUGGGAAUAGGACCCAGCACCAAACACUGCUGAAGCCACCAGAAGACAGCGAAAAGCACAGCCCAUCACCUGUCCAAUGCUCUGUAAAGGUCACGUUUGCUCGCUCUGGGCCCCAUCAAAUGUCUAAAGACCUUUUCAGAAUCUUAGAAGCCCGUGCCAGCAGCAGAGCCCCACCCUGUCCACUGACUGCUGAUUUCUCAGCUUCCCCUGGGUACAUUCUGAACUUCUAAGCUCAACUUGCAAAUUUCUUGGGGAAGAGUGUUCAAACUGGUCGUAAAUAGCUUUUUGUACUUCACACUAAGAGUGUACACAAAUCGGAAAAACGUGUUUGCAUCAAGAUUCUGUGCAUGGUCCUUGCUCACAUCCCUCCUCCACCCAGAGGAUCUGGAAAUGCUCUGGAGGAAGGCACGGUUAGCACAGGAAACGCUGGCUUGCGUGUGAGCUGCAAGCAGCUCCUGUAAUCACGUCCCCUCUCUUUGCCACCAGGCUUAUCUCUAUCUUCGGCUGCUUUGCCAUCUGUUCUGGUAAACCUUUUGGAAGGAGACAGCUACGAAGCUCUAGCUCUGAGGCUUUCGACUGGUUCUCCAGAAAGACAGAAAACCUUCAUCCGAGCUUAGAGGAUGAAGCCAUUGUCUGACAUCAUUCAACAACUGUGCAAGCAAUACAUGCCUGCUUCAGAGAACACGGGUUCAAAAAACACGGUCCAAGAGCUUACAGCCACACCCUCCACAGUCAGGAAGGAUGAAGUGAUGGAUGCUGAUGCUUAGCUUGCUGUCUCCUUUGUAUUCAGUCCAGGACCCCAGUCCAAGGAAUGGUGCCUCCCACAGAUAAAGUACAUGGGUGUUGGAAGUACCAGUAGAGGCCAGAAGAGGGUAUCAGAUCCCUUGGACCUGAAGUUAUAGGUAGUUGUAAGCUACCCCACAAGGGUGUGGAGGACUGAAGUCUGGUCCUCUUGAAGAACAAGUACUCUUAAGCAAUGAGCCAUCUUUCCAGCCCAAACUGAACAUUUCUAAGUUGUUUCAUUUUCAAAUUAUCACAGCUACUUAAUUUUUUUUCAUGUUUCCUUUGUGAACACAAAGUCAAGCUCGCUUACUUUGCAAGUCUGAUGCGAAGGGAACACCACCUACUCCCUUUCCAGGCCACAAGUAGCACUGUCUGACGGCUUCCAUCCAGAUGUGUGAAUGCACCUGUUUCCUCUGUUCUACUUGCCUUUUGAUAUCACAACUGUUGCUCAGCGCUAACCUCCAUGCAGGACAAGCUGAGUCUUCAGGAGUUCAGCUGGGCCUGGCUACAAAAGACCAUCACAGCUGGACUUGUGGAUGGUGGACAUUCUUUUCUAGGCAAAGCAGGUAUCAUCAUAGAACCCUCACCUGAGUCUCCGGUCACUCCUCCCAGCCAGUUGUAUGCAAUUAUGCCCUAAUUGCCUUGGCCUCAGGAAGGGAUUAGAGUAUAUAGGCUGGGGGAAGAUGGGAGAGAAUCUCCGUCUGCAUAGCCACAGGGAAGUGAUCCAGGUGCAGACCUCCUAGUGCCACUAUUUUGGGGUCACCCACGCUCUGUCAGUCACCCUAAUCAACCCACUGGUUCCCCAGUGGGAACUUUGGGGAAAUAGAACCUUGGUUUGUCAUGGGCCUUUGGAGGGGAGUAGAAUUACCUUGUCCCAGUCUAGAUGAAAACCCUCUCAACAGCUCAGGAAGACAAGGCUGGGGAAAAUAAAAUCCUCCAGCAAUCCAACUGUUACUCUCAAAGGACAGUUUCCCACCCUGGAUGGUUGGUAAACAACUUUCAGUCCUGCUGUCCACACACCAUGUGAACUGAAUGACACCAGGAUGGGGGUGUGCGCCAUGCUUUCUCUCCCUGGAACCCAGGAGCUGCUAGGAAAUGCACCGUGGCGCUCUUUCUCAUAUGGCAUAGGAUGGAGCACGGACCUGUCCUGCACAGGAGCCCUUCCAACUCCUGACCCUGUCUGAGGGCUCUGCAACCACUGAAGUUUGAACAAAGCCAAAAUUUCAAGCUAGGAUCUCGAAGUGAAACCAGAAGCUAUGGUUAAGAGAACAGAAAUAGAAUUGACAAUCCAAAUGUGUCAACAGCCAUGAAUACUGAUACCAACAGAUUUCAGGUGCUAUUAUUUUUUAUUCCAAAGGUGAGUAAGUGUUUUAAAUUUUUAAAUGUUUAAAUGCUUGGUUAUAUGUGUAUAUGUAUUAUAUAUACAUUCUUUUUAACAUGGAAAGAAAUUCUUUACAAAGAUUAAUAACAUUAUAGCUCCAGUAAACUUUAAAUGGUGCUCAUGGAUAAAAGACAGAAGUCUCCAGAAAGGCAACAGCUAUCUUCAAGAAGGACUAUGACUUGGGGAUUAUGAUGAUGUGUGUGGAUCUGGUGGUGACAGUCUACAGAGCUGACUGGCACAGAGCUGUGCCACAGCUAAGCUAUACAGGAACCAUCUGGCAGCGAUCUACUUGAUGAUGUUGGAAGGACAUCCACGAGGAUUGUGAAGAAUAUGGAAGAACAGAUCAGUUUAGUCUCUGAACACAAGAUGCAGUUGUUCCCAGGUGUGCUCAUCCAUCAUCUCUUGUAAGGUUGUAGAUGUUAUUGUCUUUGUAAUGGAUUUGUGAGCCCAGAACAGAAGAGGCAGAUUAAUUUGUGGAAUAGUUUACCUCUGCCAAUGAAGAAAGUAUAGGCUACAAAAUUCCUGUUGAAGCAGUUUGUCCUUCCAUCCUGGUUGCCCCUAGAGCACUGGGCUAGCCUCUGCUACAGAAUGCACAUGAUUAUCAGAUUAUUUGUCUAUGGACGUCUGAAGGCUGCGAGUCCUUUCAAUGCAGGAAUUUUAUUUUUAGUCCUUUUUUUUAACAAUAUUUAGAGGUUUGUCAGUGCCUGCUGUUUUUUGUGACAACGUGGUUCAAUAGAGUUUUACAUCAUUUACCCUAGUAAUUGCUCAAUAUUUAGCAAAUGAAUUCUCUACCAAUUACUUCAUCCUUUACCCCCUUUACCAGGGAUAAACAUUCCAAGAGGAAAGUUGAUGUUUAUUUCAUGAUUUUCAUGUUUGGUGAUGUUGAUGAAUUGUUGGGGCAGCUGAUUAUUUAGCUACUGCCUUGGCACAUAGGGGUUUUCCCAGUAUGUAUCAACCACUCAGUCCUUAUAGAGGCCAAAUAAUAAUUACUCUGUGCCUUCUAACAACUGAGUUUUUGAGACAUUUUGAAUCUGAGAAUGUUAGUUCUUAAGUUCACACUAAAAGUCUA